rnacentral:rRNA from 1 species
GUGAGGAAUAUUGCGCAAUGGAGGCAACUCUGACGCAGCCAUGCCGCGUGCAGGAAGAAGGCGCUACGCGUUGUAAACUGCUUUUAACCGGGAAGAAACCCCAGGACGUGUCCUGGGUUGACGGUACCGGAGGAAUAAGCACCGGCUAACUUCGUGCCAGCAGCCGCGGUAAUACGAAGGGUGCAAGCGUUAUCCGGAUUCAUUGGGUUUAAAGGGUGCGUAGGCGGAGCGUUAAGUCAGUGGUGAAAUCCUGCAGCUUAACUGUAGACUUGCCAUUGAUACUGGCGCUCUUGAGUGCGCUUGAAGUGGGCGGAAUGUGCCGUGUAGCGGUGAAAUGCUUAGAUAUGGCACAGAACACCAAUUGCGAAGGCAGCUCACUAAGGCGAUACUGACGCUGAGGCACGAAAGCGUGGGGAUCGAACAGGAUUAGAAACCCGGGUAGUCA